GUCGCCGGUCCUCGUCUCCUCCUCUAUCUAUAUAAAAAAAAAAAACCUUCUAGAAGAAGCUUCCCGCCUCAACCCUCAAGCCGCGCGGAUCGAUCGCUUCUAGAAGCUUCCGCCUCCGCCGCCGCGGGCCAUGGACGCGCGAGGAGGCCACCACCGCGACGACGAAGGCGAUGAGGAGGCGGCCGGCCGGCGCCGGCGCCGACGGGGGUGCCACGGCGCCGCUCCUCGCCGGCGUCGCGCCGUUGGGUUACUCGGGCCACCGCUGGAGCCACGCGGGCGACCUGCACGUCCUCUCCGCCGCGUUCCUCUUCAUCUUCUCCGCCUACUGCGCCGCGCAGAACCUCCAGAGCUCGGUCAACACCGAGGGCGACCUGGGCACGGUGUCCAUGGGGAUCCUGUACACCUCCUUCACGCUCUUCGCGGUGACCGCGUCGCCCGUGGUCACGUGGCUCGGCUCCAAGCGCGCGCUCGUCGUCGGCACCAGCGGCUACGUCAUCUUCAUCCUCGCUAACCUCGUCCCGACAUGGUACACAAUGGUGCCAGCCUCCCUGUAUCUGGGUUUUUCUGCAUCGAUCAUCUGGGUUGGGCAGGGUACAUAUCUCACGUCUGCUGCCCUCAGUCAUGCAAGAGACAAUAAUUUGCCUGAAGGCCAAACUUUGGGGAACUUCAAUGGAGAGUUCUGGGGAAUGUUUGCUAGCACACAGGUCAUCGGAAAUCUGAUCUCUCUUGCACUACUGAGAGAUGGAAAGGUUAGAUGAAGUGUCACGGGGAAAAAUCUGCUGUUUGUUGUGUUUCUUGGCUGCAUGAUUGUCGGCAUUGUAUUAAUGUGUUUACUUUCCAAAAGGGAUGAGAAAGGAAAUACUGCUCCAACACAUUCCUCAUUUGGGGCCAUGAUGAAGUAUAUUGUUGCCCCUCUCAAGGACCGAAGGAUGAUUCUUAUCAUCCCUCUUAUAGUAUAUUCAGGAUUACAAGCGGCAUUUGUAUGGGCUGUAUUCACUAAAAAUAUUGUAACACCUGUUCUUGGCGUCUCUGGAGUUGGCGGAGCCAUGGCAAUAUAUGGUGCAGCCGAUGCUGUUUGUGCAUUGGUUGCUGGACGUUUGACCUCUGGGCUUCAUUCAGCUACAUCUAUCGUUUCGGUUGGAGCUAUUCUUCAUGCUGUAGUCCUGUUCUGGUUACUUCUUUUUUACAGUCCAAUGGGUGGAUUGCUUGGUGCGGCAGUUCCACUGUUUAUAGGUGCUUUAUGGGGUGUUGGUGAUGGUGUCUUACAUACACAGUUAAGCGCAUUACUUGGGCUGCUGUUCGAGGAUGUCAAGGAGGCAGCUUUUGCACAGUGGAGGGUUUGGCAAUCGGGUGCCAUCGCAGUCAUCUUCUUCCUGAGCCCAAAUAUCACGCUACAAGCCAUGCUUAUCUUGAUGGCCAUUGCGCUCAUCAUCUCUUUCGGCUCAUUCUUGUUACUUACACUUGUUGUGGAGAAGCCAUCGACCACCAGAUCGUGAGGAAAUCCUUUUGUCCAACAGAAACCAAUUCCAAAGUGGUGCCAAUUUCACCGCACAUCUUCUUCAUCAGUGUUACCAACAACCUAAGCAGCACACACUGUAUGCACGAGCGAUACGAAACCAAAAGGAAAUGAAGUAUCUGUCAGUUGAUGUACAACACAACACCCCUCUGUCUGCCAUUUGUUUCAGCGAUUUUUUUGCUGAAUUGAAGUGAUUGCAUUCAAAAUUGGGAAGUCGGCCUUGUAGCAAAUCUUGUUUGGUACCGUUGUUUCUGUUCCGUGGUUGUUUGUACCAAUCUAACAGCAAUCAAAUAUAUAUGUUUGUAAUAGCUGCUUUUUUGUUCUGAAAAA